rnacentral:rRNA from 1 species
CAGUCGCCACGGUAAAACGAAGGGUGCAAGCGUUACUCGGAAUUACUGGGCGUAAAGCGUGCGUAGGUGGUGGUUUAAGUCCGUUGUGAAAGCCCUGGGCUCAACCUGGGAAUUGCAGUGGAUACUGGGUCACUAGAGUGUGGUAGAGGAUAGUGGAAUUUCCGGUGUAGCAGUGAAAUGCGUAGAGAUCGGAAGGAACAUCUGUGGCGAAGGCGACUAUCUGGGCCAACACUGACACUGAGGCACGAAAGCGUGGGGAGCAAACAGGAUUAGAUACCCCGGUAGUCCCUGUCUCUUAUAC